rnacentral:rRNA from 1 species
CCCUUAGAUGUCCUGGGCCGCACGCGCGUUACACUGAUGCAUUCAACAAGCUUAUAACCUUGGCCGAGAGGCCUGGGCAAUCUUGUUAACGUGCAUCGUGAUAGGGAUAGAUUAUUGAAAUUAUUAAUCUUGAACGAGGAAUUCCUAGUAAACGCAGUUCAUCAGACUGCAUCGAUUACGUCCCUGCCCUUUGUACACACCGCCCGUCGCUCCUACCGAUUGAAUGCUCAGGUGAGCCAUUCGGACUUUCAUCAUGCUGGUUUCCAGUUUUGAUGAAGGAAAGUCUUGCGAACCUUAUCAUUUAGAGGAAGGAGAAGUCGUAACA